UACGUAGGGGGCGAGCGUUGUCCGGAAUUAUUGGGCGUAAAGGGCUCGUAGGCGGCCCGGUAAGUCGGCAGUGAAAUCCCAGGGCUCAACCCUGGAACUGCUGUCGAUACUGUCGGGCUUGAGGAAGGUAGAGGAGAGUGGAAUUCCCGGUGUAGCGGUGGAAUGCGCAGAUAUCGGGAGGAACACCGAUAGCGAAGGCAGCUCUCUGGGCCUUACCUGACGCUGAGGAGCGAAAGCGUGGGUAGCAAACAGG
rnacentral:rRNA from 1 species